rnacentral:rRNA from 1 species
AUUCGACUAAGCCACGCGAGUUGAAUGUUCUUCGUGAACAUGGCGGACUGCUCAGUAACACGUGGACAACCUACCCUUGGGUCCGGCAUAAUCCUGGGAAACUGGGGAUAAUUCCGGAUAGGUCACCGAUGCUGGAAUGCUCGGUGGUCCAAAGCUCCGGCGCCCAAGGAUGGGUCUGCGGCCUAUCAGAGUUGUAGUGGGUGUAAUGUACCUACUAGCCUACGACGGGUACGGGUUGUGAGAGCAAGAGCCCGGAGAUGGAUUCUGAGACACGAAUCCAGGCCCUACGGGGUGCAGCAGGCGCGAAAACUUUACAAUGCGGGAAACCGUGAUAAGGGAAUCUCGAGUGCCAGCAUAUAAUGUUGGCUGUCCAGAUGCCUAAAAAGCAUUUGUUAGCAAGGGCCGGGCAAGACCGGUGCCAGCCGCCGCGGUAACACCGGCGGCCCGAGUGGUAACCGCUAUUAUUGGGUCUAAAGGGUCUGUAGCCGGCCAGGUAAGUCCCUUGGGAAAUCUGGCAGCUUAACUGUCAGGCUGCUAGGGGAUACUGUCUGG